rnacentral:tRNA from 1 species
AUUCGAUUUAGUGUAUUAACAUAUUAAAUUUUGAUUUUAAAGAUAUAUCGAAG